GAUGAAGAGUAGCGAAAUGCGAUAAGUAAUGUGAAUUGCAGAAUUCAGUGAAUCAUCGAAUCUUUGAACGCACAUUGCGCCCAUUAGUAUUCUAGUGGGCAUGCCUGUUCGAGCGUCAUUAAGUCCACUUAAGCCCUGCUUAGUGUUGGGAGACUGCUCCAGCGGUGCUACCCUGUAGCUACCCUGCAGCUCCUCAAAGACAGCGGCGGAGUUGUGGUAUCCUCUGAGCUUAGUAACUUGUUCUAGCUUUCGAGUACACCACUUCCCCUGCCGUAAAACCCUUAAUUUUUAAUGGUUGACCUCGGAUCAGGUAGGAAUACCCGCUGAACUUAAGCAUAUCAAUAAGCGGAGGA
rnacentral:misc_RNA from 1 species